rnacentral:rRNA from 1 species
AACGAACGCUGGCGGCAGGCUUAACACAUGCAAGUCGAACGCUCCGCAAGGAGAGUGGCAGACGGGUGAGUAACACGUGGGAACAUACCCUUUACUACGGAACAACUCCGGGAAACUGGAGCUAAUACCGUAUGUGCCCUUCGGGGGAAAGAUUUAUCGGUAAAGGAUUGGCCCGCGUUGGAUUAGCUAGUUGGUGGGGUAAAGGCCUACCAAGGCGACGAUCCAUAGCUGGUCUGAGAGGAUGAUCAGCCACAUUGGGACUGAGACACGGCCCAAACUACUACGGGAGGCAGCAGUGGGGAAUAUUGGACAAUGGGCGCAAGCCUGAUCCAGCCAUGCCGCGUGAGUGAUGAAGGCCUUAGGGUUGUAAAGCUCUUUCACCGGAGAAGAUAAUGACGGUAUCCGGAGAAGAAGCCCCGGCUAACUUCGUGCCAGCAGCCGCUGUAAAAC